GUAAUAAAUUAUUUGAAAGCAGCAUAAUUAAUUGAAUCAAUUAUUUAACAGCUUAUCCAAUAAAUUUACAACUACGUUUACAAUUGUUGAUAUGUACUGACAUAUUCUUUUCACAAUUACUCUGUCAUUACUGUACCAUUCUUUCUAAGUAACAAAUGACGCUCCGUCCAUAAAAAGAAGUAAGUGUCACUUCCAUGAAGAUGAAGUAGAGAUAUUAAGCGACAUUGCAGUUAAGCGACAUUCCAUAUUCGUGGUGAAUUUAAAAUACGUCGAAGUCGUCGGCGGAAAAAUUCACCAUCCUCCUUCGGAAAACUUUAUGCGGGGAGAUGAAGCGCAAAGUCGCACACGCCCACUCGCAUCGCCGGAAAAUGUAUCGUAAAUUGUCGUUGCAAAGUGCUUAAUGCGACUGUUGCGCGAAGAGGCGUGAGGCGGAGGAGAAGAGGACAAGGAUGAGGACAAGGUGGAAAGGAGAUUCUCGGAAGGGAGACAAGCCAUUUCAUCGCCCAUGCUGGAAUUUCGAGUCGGUGGAUGACGAGUCGGUGGUGCAACGAGAGCAUCAUCGGCAGGCUUGACGGUGCCUCUAAUGGCUCGCUAAUGUUGCCCGCGAAGAUAAUCGAGCGUGAGAUCGUUCAGCCGAUUUUCUUCCGCGCGGAUUUUAAGGAUAACGUGGACCGAUUUUCCGCCUCGACUCGAAAGUACACCGUGCAUUUUGCGAGAUGCGGAUGGCGUUGCAUUUUCAAGAUGACGGGGAAUAUAAAAUGAGGCAAGAUGAAGUGUCAAUCUUUUAUAUCGCAUGUGAACUGUGUAUAUGAAGUUCUAUACUUCUGGUGUCUUUUAAAGAUUUUAUCAAUAUAAUCCAAAUUGCAAUUUAGUGAAUAAGUUAAUAUGUUUCAGAUUAUUAAAGAUUAGGUAUUUUAUUUUAAAACUAAAAAAUGCUAGUUUAUUAAAUAUUAAGUUAAAUAUAACUUUAGCUGAAAUAUUCUUAUAUAUACAUAAGUUUGUGUGAGAUGAUUAAUAAUCCACUUUCUAGUAAUUCAAUUUUGUAAACCUCAGUAAUUUAAAAUACAAAUAAUAUAUUAAUUUUGGACUAUUAAUAUUGUAUUUAAAAUCUCGUCUUGCCAGAUUGAUCUAAAAACGAAGGUGAUGUAUCGACGCUGUUGCAACAUAAUGGUCUUAACGGGAGAGGUUGGGUUGAUGGUUCGGUUGCCCUCAAAUCAUCGCGGGUGUGAGGCAAAUGACGUUCGGCCACGCGAAAGUAACGCGAUAAUGACUGCCAUGAAAAGCCCCUUCCAUGAUAUCUGUUGCUUUGAUGUGUCCUCUUGAUGCCUUCGCACCUCUCACCCUUCAUUGAUUUUCAUUCUUUUCAUCUAUACUUUAAAUUCUCAUCCGUGGUUUAUCGAAUUGAUUUCGUUCAAAUCAGUUAAUUAACAUUAGAAAAAUCGAUGACUCUUGUUGUAAAGAAACAUAAGCGUACAUCAUAAAAACAUUAAAUCCAUAAAAUUUGAAGAAGUAUCAAGUAUGUUUAACUGACUAGAGUAUACGUAACAAAUUAUAAAGCUUUGAGAAUCAUGUAGCCAUUAACGAAAAGUGUCGAACAAAAGUGUAAGUGAUUUUCUCUUUUAGUGUAUUAGAAGCUACUUGUCGUGGGAAAGAAUGUCAGAAUACGUAAUUAUAGGUCGCUGAAUCACGUGUCCAUUAUUGUUAACGUAGAAAGGACUGAUCUAACACGAUGCGGACAAAGAUACUGAGCAAUUCUGUGAACACACGAGUUAGUAAUCUGCCAUUCAGAAAAGUUAGCCGGGCAUCUCAGGUUAAUUCGCUACUUGCAUUCCGCUCAAUGACCACACGUGAGCGUUUCAGACGCCGUAAUGAAUGGGCACAGAUGCGGAUGAGGGUUGCUUUUGCUCGGAGUCGUACGUACUUCCAAAUGUCGCAGUGCGAGGUCAACAAAAGGUAUAAUCUUAUGCGAUAUUUAAUUUCUAAUGACAAUCUGUUAAAAAUAUACCUACUUUAAACAUCUACAGCUCUUAUUACUUAUGAUAUAACCUCUAUGUUAAUUAUGGAAAAUAUCUGGUGAUAAAUAUUUCAUAAAAUUUCGUAUGUAAUUUAAUUCCAGAAACUUUUCGUCAUAGUCUGUUUUCCUCAUGCUUAAAAUCAAGACUUAAAGUAUCUCUUCAUAAAGAACUGUAGAGCCAUACUGAUAAUAAUUCGUUGCAAGCUUCAGUUCUCGACUCUUUAAUCAAUGUCUACCGCCCGUGGGCUGCAAAAACACAAGUCGUACUCGAUCUCUUUUCUUCCCGAACAACAAAAAUCGAUAAACACAAUCUUUACAUCGAUCGCAGUUCCUCUCUGAAAGUAUUCGUGGCUCGACAAUCGAAGCCCGCGAUUAUGGUCGAUUCCUAUCAAAGAUUGCCCAAAAAAGGGGAAUUACUUAGUCUCCACCACCCUCGGUGGUGCAGGUCGCUGCCGUCCGUCGAGGGACAGACGCGUCCGUAGUCGCAGUUUGUCGGCCAAUGGGACCAGACAGAAACGCAAUCGCAAUGCAGGCCAAUCCCUCUGCUCCGUUCGUCCACCCGCUCUCGCUCGCCCUCCCGUGCCCGGUAAUGACAAUCAUUACCGGGGAAUGAUUGCAGCGUCGGGUCCGCCAGCGCGCCAGCCGUGCUAUUGGGGGAUGGAAACCACCUUAUAGAGUCUCUUCUCGGUCCUCGAUGCGAGCGGAUUGUCACAUGCUCCCGCUUGCACGGCAUAGAGCGCGUUUCCUCUUCUCCGUCCGCGCUUCCUGCGAGUUCGAUUUUGCGGUGGAGAACUUUCUUCGUGGUGUAAGUGACCGAGACAUGGCGGUCAGUCAGUCGAGGCGAACAAAAAAAGAUAGCGGUCAGAAGAAAGUUACCGAGGCCAUAUCGAGGCCGCACUUCCGGAACACCCGCGUCGCAUUAUCGCGAUACCUCUCCCCGAAAGUGAACCGCGACAUUUGCCUCUCUUUUGCAGUUUGUUCAUUUAUCCUUCGUAGUGUGAGUGUAUUGUGUGAUGGAAAAUGGCGGCCGCUCACGCGUAUUACUGGGUGUAGGAAUUUAGCGCGUAGUGGCUAACUGGUUUGCUUGAAAACUUUGUGAUUCAUUCUUUUGAUCAACAAGUGAUCAAAUUAAUAUUCGGCUCGAACUGAAAAGACUCGAACAACAACCGGUAUACGUCUUGCUCAAAUAUGAAUAUCAGUAAUAGUUAAUACCAGUAUUCGCGCAUGAGUGAGCGAGUAUACCAGUUGCGUUUCUGAUGACAACUUAUUCGUAGAUCGCGAUAAUGUAUCGUCUAUUCUAUGCGUGACGUUGUAUAACAUUGCCAUGGCUUUAUUUAGAGUGGCCCUCGACAAGUUCCAGUGAAAAGCCCUCUCCGUGCAUGUUAUACGUGACGAAGACGUGGUGGUCUGCAUGGCACACAUGUCGCUCUAGAUGCACGAAUGUUCAGCAUUGUUGGCGUUGGAACAGGCAAAUCGUCGAUCACUGCAUUCAGGUUUGUUGAUCCUUGAACCUCCUUCGAUCUAUCGUAUCUAUCGAUCAACGGGCGUCCAUUGCAGCAGCCACGUUUAAUAACAGAUCAUGCAAGCGCAAGAAAUGGCGGCGAAUUCGUACGGCUUCAAAAUCAAAGGUACCGUGAAAGGGAAUCGAAGAGAGAUUGAACAAUCACAUCUUACGAUGAAGAGAACGCGCAUCGCUGGUGAUUACGCAAACGCACAACGAUCGACAAAUAUCUUUCAUCAAGGGAUUUCUUGUGUAUCGCAAAUUGGACGGAAAGAAUUAUCCAUUGCCAGCUGUCACAGAUACUGGCAUGGCGCCGAGUCUCGCAAAACUUGGAAACCCAACUAAGUUGCAGCGUUUACGACUCGAGAGUCGGACAAUAAUUGUCGCUUGAGAACCGAUCGUUUGCGGAUACCUGCGAAUUUUGCCGUCUGCGAAGGACAUCUCUGAGUUCAGAAACAACUCCAAGAAACCAUUUCGCAAGAACCACGUGAAAUUCUUUGGAAGGUGCAGUGCGGGGAAUGAGAAAAGGAAUGAACGAAAACCUUGAACCAAUCGUAAAUGGCGCGAAGUGAAAGCGAUCGGUCACCACAGUUUUCCCAGAAGAGCGCGAGUCACGAAAUUAUCGGCUUGUAAAUCGAACCGAAGGAUCUCGUUCCUUUUGCGGCAAAUAAGCGGCUGUUCGGUAAUCCAGUAGCGAAUCGAGCUCACGAAACGUCGAAAGUGAAGAACGCAAUCCCACCAAUUAUCAAAGCAUUCGACUAGACAAAUAUCCACGCUAUAAAUAUUGUUUGCAUCAUUUCAUUUUAACUCUUUUAUCUUCUUCAAAUAACAUUUUGAUGUCUUAUACGCAUAUAAUGAAAAUAAAUUUGCUGCUUUUUUUAAUUUUCUCUAUUUGAUUAUAAUCCCGUUCUUUUUAAAUAGAUAGGAAUGCUAAAUGAGUUCAAAGUAAGUAAAAGUUCUUGGCAAUAUUGUAUAUAAUAUAAUUCUGUUUCAUUAUAAAUUAUCUAGAUGAAAGGGAGUGGACCAUAUCCACAUGAGACACUUUGAAAAGAGAUUGUAGACAACGUGUCACCUUCUUCUAAGAGAGAGAGAUGAGAUACCACGGCGACACUUCGCGGACAAUACUCCGUGACUCGCACGAUUAUACGCGAACACCACUUAAUCACCGUAAUAGGGCGGACAUAAUGGCUGAUACGAUCUGUAUUUGCUCGUUAGAUUCGAGCUAUGCUCUUCCACGCAUGCAAAAGAGCGCUUUCCGUUUUGCCUACGCCUGCACAAAUGGCAAUUACACUGGAUAGUAAUCUUGUAUAUAAAUUUUUGUGUAAUGAUAUAUCGUAACAAUAAUAUGACAAUAAUAAUGUGUGACAUGAAUUAAACGUUAUGAUUAAUAUAAAUAUGUAUUCUUCAAAUUUUAUUUACGAUGUUUUAUUUUUCUAUUUACUCUGUCGAUAGAUACACACUUUAGAAAUUAAUACACUAAUCAUUUUUCCCCUUAUUUCAUAAAUAUAAAAUUUUUGAUAUUUUAGAAAUACAUAUUUCAUAAGAAAGAAAGAGUGAAGAAAGAAUAGAGGUAAAGUCAAGGUAAUAAGUAAUAUCUCUCCCUAUUUCCCUCUGCUCAAGAUCGGCAGAAUAAAGCACGAUACGUUACAUCACAUCAAUUGCAAAAUGACUGCGUAAAGCCGAAGGCGUAAGUGGUGUGUAGGAUUCGAUUUCGAGGCGUCUGAAUUCCGCGGACACGUUGCCUAAUUGAGUCAUCGUGCCAUUAAUCGCGUAAUAAUCGGGCAUCGCAAGUAACUCAGCUGGCACCGAUGGUAGUGGAUUAAAGUUGUGGGACAGACAACUCAGGCCCGAAGAUCGUAGAUCGAUGUCCAAUUAGGCCCAAUUACAUAUUAUGGGUAAUCGACCACGGUCGGUAAAAGAAGCUUUAUUCCUCGAAGCAAAGCAGUACAUCUAUGGCGACAGGUUUUGCAAGAUCGCUUGCAUCGACAAAGACGAAGAGGGGACAAUUCUUCGAUGAAAGGUGAUGUAUUAUAAAUUUAUAAAAUACUUUUAAAAUUUAUAAUACGAUCAUGUUUCGUUAAUGUAUCAAGUAAGUGAGUAAAUGGAUAACAUGGGCGUUCAAAUUGGAGUAAUUUAUCAAAUUAUACAGAAAAUGAACUCCCUUCCGGAAGAUUUAUAUAUGAAUAUAGAUAUUAAAAUAUUUAUAAAUAAUUAUAAAAAUCAAUUUCCACUUUGGUAGAUAUAAUAAACAUUGAAGAAUAAAAAAUACGUCAUUGCGAAAUUAAAUAAUUCCUCUCAAUAAACUAUUGCACGUGGUAUGCACAUAUGUUUCUAUCUAUCACGUCUAUUAAAUAUUGCACAUUCUUUCUCUUGUUCAAAACUAUUUCCCAUUUUCGAUUGCGCACUUAGCUGAUAUUCGGGAACGAGUCGUACGACUUUACGACAACUUGCUGUAUACUGUAAUCUGUGUGGUUUAACGAAGUUCCCUCUCGCUGGAAUUCGAGCGAUCGCGAGACUUUGCGGAGCGGCGGAGCACGAGCGGCGGAACAUCGCGUGCUUCCGAAAUAUUCCGGGAAUAUGCUAAUUGUCAGUCAGUUUCUUGUGGCACUGCGACUGUUUCUACAAUCGGCGAUGGCCUCUUUAGCCGCAGCCUGCUCUCCUUCCUUUACUCUCGUCUCGUAGCUUCCCGCGAUAUUGCCGUUCUUUGUUCGCUGCAAUCACCGCCGGUUGCGCUUCGUUAAACAUGCGAUGGAUCGCUCCUCCGCCGUUACCUUUGACUUUUGUUCUCCGGUGACAUUGUUUAUCGAGUGACUAGCCGCAUUCGUGUCUUCCUUACUAGCCAAAUGCUCGUAAACAAGUGACAGUGUUUGAUUAUUUUAAUGUAAAGACUGCACUACAUUAAGAGAAGCUUACAUGACAUUGUAAUCAUUUCACUGUUUAAGAUAAUCUUAUUUCAAUAUUAAUUUCAAAAAUCUCUGUUCAGCAUAUAGUAAUCUAAAUAUUUAGAUAAUCUAAUAAAUUCCUCAAAGACUUAUGUAAACUUAUUAAUAUAAGAUGAAUAGAACAAUUUUGUUUGAUAUUGAUUUGUGACUUUUUUCGAAAAAAUUUAUAAAAGAUCCUGAAAAUAUUUAAUUAAGAAAUAUUCCGAUUUUGAUUCACUCGCUGCAUCUAUGUUAGAUCUAUCAACAUGAUUCUCCAUCCAGCCCAUUGUAUUCUCACGAAUCACGCAAACUCCGCGAAUUCUGGUGCUACCGAUGGAAGGAUUGAAUAAAUUUGAAAUUCUCUGGAAAAAUGGAUCCUGGCCACGCGUAAGCGAAGGCCGCGAGCGGGAUAUCGCGUGUAAACGCGAACGUAUUCAAUUAAUGCAGAGCGGAUGUUGUAGAGCGAGCGAUACGGCGCAGGGGACGCUCCUCAUUCUCAAAACGGGAGAGCGGCCAUGUACGCCGUGGAGUUAAUUAAUGGGAAUGAAAGGAGAGUGUGCGCCGCCAUGGCACAUACGACCGCGAAGUGAGAUACGUUGGUAAGGUGUCGAGGAUCCUUUGAGUUAUAGCAGACGAUCAUAGCAUCUAGGACGACGGUGCAGAUCGUGGAAUACGCCGCUUCACGCUCUACAAGCAGUAUAUAGAAAUAUCCGGAAACCAGGGCAGCUCUAUUAUCACCCAGAAGUUAUACGAGCUAACUGAAGUUUCAUCGCCGCCGAGUUCCAGGUACAGCAAUAUGUUGUUUUAUGGUGCAAUCAUCGGUGCGGUAAUAAUCAUUAAAUCCUUUGAGCGAAGCUGAACGGAGCUGCGGACCUCGGCGAGGUCCGUGUUCCUUCGAAGUAUCUCGUCAUUAGUGUGACAUUAUCCAUCGAAUUUGUUUUGUGGCUAUUUAUUCAUUUUUCGUAACAAGUUCGUUGACCUCGCAUCAAGAGGGAUGUCAAUGAAUGCAAUUCAUUUCUUAUCGAUAUAAAUCGAAAAUUGAACAUUGCGAGAAAAGUGCAAAAUUA
rnacentral:lncRNA from 1 species